AUUGAACGCUGGCGGCAUGCUUUACACAUGCAAGUCGAGCGGCAGCGCGGGGGGCAACCCUGGCGGCGAGCGGCGAACGGGUGAGUAAUGCAUCGGAACGUACCCUGGAGUGGGGGAUAACGCCGCGAAAGCGGCGCUAAUACCGCAUAUGCUCUGAGGAGGAAAGUGGGGGACCUGCAAGGGCCUCACGCUCUGGGAGCGGCCGAUGUCCGAUUAGCUAGUUGGUGGGGUAAAGGCUUACCAAGGCGACGAUCGGUAGCUGGUCUGAGAGGAUGAUCAGCCACACUGGGACUGAGACACGGCCCAGACUCCUACGGGAGGCAGCAGUGGGGAAUUUUGGACAAUGGGGGCAACCCUGAUCCAGCCAUGCCGCGUGAGUGAAGAAGGCC
rnacentral:rRNA from 1 species